rnacentral:lncRNA from 1 species
CCCUAGGGUUCCAUUAGGGACGGGGGCAGGGGGCAUGUGCUCUGAAUCUCAGAAAUGGUAACUGAGAUGUAUGAGUCCUGUGUCACCUUCCUUGUCACCUCUUGCAGACAAUAGGAGGCAAGACCACAGCCCCAAAGAUCCUGCACAGGGAGGAUCUCCAGAGGGGCUGUGUAGGAAGCGCUGUAUUAGAUGUGAGGACUGGCACGUGCAGGCAGAGAUGAAAUUUCACAGCUACGGCUGAUGCCUUAAAAAGCGAAUCUCUUAAGCAGCCUUUUUCAUCCUUGUGGCUCUUCUGCAUCUAUUUUGCUUUGGAUUUAAGGUCAGUGAAACUGUAUAGCACAGGAUAUUCAGGAACUACCUCUAAGGAUGCAGCUGCUUCCUUCACGGUGGAAACAGGGAAUUGGCCUGUGUUCUCCCGUCCGCGGGCGGCCCUGAGGAGCCAGCCUUGAGGAUUGGGGAUGAGCAGAAGCUGACCCCGCCUGCAGGGCAGUGCCCUCGGGGUGGAUGUGUAUUCCUGGCAUUUAGGAGAACACCUCUCUCUCAAGAUUUAUGACUUCAUUUCAUGUUUUAAUGCUUUCUGUCACAAUUCCAAGCCACGGUGACUGAUGGGCAGCGUGGAAAGGGGAAGCGCGCUCUAGUGGAAACAGCCCAGAAGGGUUUGAAGUGAACGAGCACUUACUCAGCAAACAUCUCCCGAGCACCUACCAUACCCUCCUUGCUGACUCCCAGGAAGGCAGAGAGCCAUAGCCUCUGGAAGGACACUCUGAAGGCUCUUGCAAUGCCAGACCUCCUGGGAGAAUGAAGGCAAUCCUUCCAGUGGGGCGAGGUUGGGGGCAGAGUAGCAUCUUAGAGGAGCUCCAGUUCAUGCCAGCCCCUCCCCAACCAGCAGUGAAGCUUCAGAAAAACUGAGCCCGGGAGCUGACCCAGGGCUGAGAGAGCCAAGGAUCAGCUCUUUGCUCUUUCCUGAUUCUAGAUGCUAAAUCCUGCAUGUCCCCAAGCACCCACCAGUUAGACCUGACUCUGGCCCUGCUGAUGUCUGCCCAACCUCAUCCCUCUGCCACCAAGACAGCCUCCCCAUAGGCCACCUAAAACCUCUUGCCAAAGAGCCAGAAGCCCCGCCUUGAGGAGCGUGGUGUCCCUGCUCCAGCCUCUCCUUUGAAAUAAAUGUAUUCAAUACAAAGAUACAAAAUGGAUGAAACAGUUGUUUUUAAAUGCUGAUUUCAUGCCCCUCCCAAAGGCACUCUUUUGUUCUGUUUAAUUUUUACAUCACAUCGACAAUAACAAACUCUAGGGCGGAUUCAUCAAAGGAAACUGAUAAUUGCUAACUGUACAUUUUAUUUGGUUCAUUAUUUUGUUAACACCUGAUUCUGAAAAAUACUCCUUCUGAAUGGGCUGGAAGCGGCAUAAAAAUUAGGAGCAACAAAGAGAUCUUUUCUCUUGCAUUGAAAUAGGUUUAUGACCUGCCAGCUACAGUAAGUGUGUGGGACUCCCUUUGUGACAGCCAGUAACAUGUAGCAAGCCUCUCUCCACCUGCCUCCAGGUAAACAAACAUCUUCUAACCAAAGGGCUGCGUUCUGUUUUGCUCUGCAGAAAUGUACCCCUGUUGUGCUGGUUAGGAUUCCAGGUGGGUGGAAACUAGAGUACCUGGGACGUGGAGUCAAAAAGUGGACCUGGGGCAGCGCUCCCCCCCAAAAAAGGGCAACAAGGUGUAGGCUGUCCUAAGGGUUGGUUGAAGAGGCCAUACUGGGGGAUCCCAAAAUCACUGAGAGAGUGGAAAGUGUGUGUGUGAUUCAUUCCAUGUUUAUGAAGUACUUCCGGUGUACACAGUCAGCAGCUGAAUUCAGAUGUAUAUCAUUGGUGGGUAUUGGAUACAUCUGGAUGCCUCCCAGCAUCAUUAAACUCCCUCCCAGUGUUUGGGGAAGUUCCCUGUUUUAGGAUCCUAUGCCUCCUCAAGGUAGAAGCUAGACUCCCUCUUGCCCAGCAGCUCUUGUUGAUAAGGUACAGGCAGGAGAUGGUGCUCACCAGCCUGACACCCACAUGAGACUUUGAUUGGGAAGCUAAUGCCAUGAAGUGAUGGCACGUGGAACCCAUUCUGCUGAGCCCAGUGGCAGACUGACCAGCUCCCAGUGAUGAAGGUUCCAAAUAGCUUCCGAGCCCCUUACUUGGGUGCGUGACCGUGGUAUUUGUAGCAGGGAUGUAUUCUAUUGGUGAGAGAAACCAGUUGCUAUUCUUUGCUGCUGGGCCUUCAGGUUUGUUCCUCUGGACUGCUCAGAUUCUGUGAGUUGAUCUGAUAUGCUUGAGCAAAUUCCUUUUCUACUGAAACUGGCUAGAAUGAGUUUCUGAUGUUUGCUACUGGAAGCCAAAGCGUACUCAUAGCUCUGUAUACUGCAAAUGACAGAGGCCCAAGGACAUUUGCUGGAUUGUGAAAUUGAAAACAUCCAGGAGUAUGUGGCUUCAGAUAGGGUUAGAUAUACAGGGAUUGGGACCAGGUAUAUAAUUUGCAAGGCCCCAAACAAAAUGAAAAUGCAGGGCCCUUUUUUUAAAAAUGGUAUUAAAAGUUUCAAGAUGACAAUAGAAGAGCAUUGAGCCAAGUAUAGGGCCCUUCUAACUGCAGAGCUCUAUGACCACAUGGAUUGCAUGCCCAUAAAGCUGGCCCUGCCAAGGGCUCAGUCAUUGUCACCAGGACCCCUGUGUCUUUCUACCUCUUGGUUCUGCCAAGUCCCACCUGAUCCCUUGCCUGCCCACACACUCCAGUGUUCAAGAGGGAAAGGCCUGUCUGAAUUCACACAGUUAAGGCUCCCAGACCAGUUGUACCCACAGCGUGCUCAGGCAUGCAGUCCGCCAGCACACUGAUUAGCCUGGUAUGUGGACUAUGGACUUAGUUCCAGCCCCCAAAAGCAGCCUCUGCCAUGAGGAUUAGUGCGCAGGGGAUUUCUAAAGGAAGUGCUCUCAGGCAAGCUGGGAAGUAGGACAGGGAAGGGGAGGAAACUAAGCAAAGAUGUGAGCGCCCGCAGAGGUCCUCAGAGGGAGGGGCCUUGCCUGAUCCUACAAGGAGCUCUAGAGUGUGAGUGAUGCCUCAGAGUUGGUUGCACCUGAGACAAGGAAGCUGGCAUUUCAGUGCUCCCUGUGUGGGCCCCCCAGUCACUGAUUAAGGGCCACUCCCCAUGUGGGUGUGGCAUGUCCAGUUCCCGGGCACUGCUGGCUCUCUGUGGUAUGGACAACAUGGGUCCCAGUAGACUGUGGGCUGACUUCAGAGAAAGAAACUCAAGUGCCAGCUUUUGGAGGUUAACACCAAAGUGAAGGGAGGCGUCCCACAAUGGUACAGGCAAUCUAAGAUGUGGGCAGAGCACAGCCCUGGAUUCAAUGACAUCCCAGCAUAUGGACCCUACCUGUGGCUGGCCUGAAAAAAUCCUGAGUAUCUGACCCCAAAGUUCCACUGGGAACAUUCCUGUGUGAUCCUUUCAGCCAGUGAAUCAGGAAGUACCAGGUGCUGGGCGAGUGGUGAUUAGAAGAUGAUGUGUAUUUCUGAGCUUUUAUUUACCCUAAUAUUUUAAAAAUUAAUCUUAGACCACCUGAGCAUGUAGUACAAAACUUAUAUUCCCUAUUUUGAAGUGAAUGAAUUGCAUCACAAUGGCUUGUAAGAACUGUGUGAGGUUCUGAGUCAGUCACAGGAACAAACUUUGCACAAACUCUGCUCACCUCCUUUGACACCUGCACUUAGUCACAAGUGAACACAUGUUGCUCUUGAAAGAUGCAUAUUAUUAGAUUCACUAAGGAUGGAAUCCUAGAAGAAUAAGAUUACUUUUUAACAGUCAAAUCUAUGAAUACAUUUUCAUAAUAGCUGUGUGGAUGUGUAAUUCACAUACCCUACAAUUUCCCUAUUUAAAGUGUACAUUUCAGUCAUUUUUUAGUAUAUUCAUAAAACUUGGCAACAAGCACCACAGUCAAGUUUAGAAAGUUGGUGUCACUCUAAAAAGAAAGCCCAUAUCCAUUAGCAUUCUUCAUUCCUACCCUCCGAACCCCUAGUCCUAAGCAAAAAAGUUUUAGGGCUGGUGCACCAUCCCUCUUGUUCCUAAUUUCAAGAACCAUCCAGAAAGCCCUAUGAGAAAGAAAGCUCUGGAAAGUCCCGCAUUAUCUACACAUGCCUGGGAGAGUCAUGACUUUGGAGAGCCUUUCUGAUUGCCGGCUCAGUGACUGGCAAGUCAACAGAAAGAGAAACGGAAUGGCUCUAGCAACUCAGUUGAGCCAUGCAGAUAAAUCGGGCCCGGGUGACAUCCAUGGCUGUCCUGAGACCUGAGAGCAGCAGUCUCCUCCAGCACAUGAGGCAGAGGUGUGGCCUGUUUCCUUCCUGAACACCGAGGGGACCUCAAGUCACUUCCUAAAGAGGUUCUGCAGCUCCAAAUUCCAGCUUGGGCAAAACAGGGCAUUCUGUACACAGAAAGCUGGCCAUGCUGGUUGGACCAAUUUAUAUACUUCUUUUUUUUCUUUCUUUCUUUUUUUAAAAGCCACCUUGCCUUUUUGGAGAAAUGAGCAAGGGAACACUCAGCUAAGCAUAUUAAAAAACCUUUAAGAAAUAAAUUAACAACAUGAAGAAGGGAUUUAUGUCUAAUCAAACAUAUUUUUAAAAAUUCUUCUAAGCGAUGGAAGGAGUUUAGAAAAAAAUUAUCUAUGAGACCAAAGAUUAUGAAGUCACAUAAUACCUGCAUGUACCUUUGCUGUAAUAAAAAUCUUGGCUAGAGUGUAGUGUGACCAAGGCUACAGUAUAGUGUGACCAAGUGAGGUACAUUAAGUAAACACUCAUUUGAAGACCUUUCCACUGGAACAUAGGAAUGAAGCGGUGAAAAGAAUAUGUGUUCUGAACAUCACGUUGGUCCCAUUAAGAGGGCUCUGUGAUCACAUUAUUAUGUGCUUUGUCUUCAGAGACUUCCCUGUCUUUUUCACCCAUAUGCAGAAAGAGUCCUCUCCAUCUCAUUAUCAGGCUCCGGGAGCCCGAUCUCUCUGAUGUGUCUCCCUCCCUCACUUUGGAGCUUGACUUCCUUGAGAUCUGUCAUUGUCACCUUUAUUAUAAUGGAGUCUUACAAUCCCACAGCUAGUGACACUCAGGGGAGGAGUAUUCUGAUGAGGAGGGUGGGGGUGCCUGGAGGAGAUGUGUGUGAUGAAGUUUCCACAGAGGCGACACUGCAAACCCGAGGGAAGAAUGAAGGACUGGUAGGGAGGUGGGCAUUUCGCCACCCAAUUCCCCUCCCCUGGUGUCGUGCAAGAAGAAGGCAGAAAGGCCGUGGAGAAUGUCCAGGACAGUGGAGCCUGCAUUAUUGUAGUCGCAGCAGGCAGGAAAAUUCUCUCAUUAGGAGAGGCCAGCAGAGUCUGGUACCCCCAGAGGCAGUUGAGUGAAUAGGUAGAGGUGAGCAUUUUCUUUAUAUCACAUGUGGGCAAAGGGAGCUAAAAGGCCUGUGGGAGGAAGGAAGGAUCACUGGUUUCCUUUCCUCUCACUGCCCGACUCAAUGUUAACCAGGUCAAUAGAACAUGAGCUUCUUUCAUUCUAAGAAGAUGCUAGCCCUCCAUGGGUUCUGCUUAAGUAAGAGAAGGCCAAAGGUCAUUGAGUAUGAUUCACCCACACUGAGGGGGCAGAAGUGACCUAGAAUGCCAUAAAAAAAAAGCACCAGAAGUACAAGAGCAAUAUUUUUAGAAACAUGCCUAAGGGAUAGCCAAACAAAAAGGCAGCAACCAAUCAAAAAAGGUUUAAUCCUUCCAGUUAUCUACUUUCACCAAAACAAUAGAAAUUAAUCAAGUUCAUGUGCAUAUGUGAUUUGCGGGACUUGUUUAGCAUUCUAUAGAUGAAUAUAGAUCACAUCUAUCUGUCUCUAUCUAUCUAUCUAUCUAUCUAUCUAUCUAUCUAUCUAUCUUCUAUCUAUUUUUGAUAUUUUUCUCCCUAAGAGUGAACAACUCUCAAAACAAAAGUAAAUUUAAAACAUACACUGCAACGUGCUGUGUGGCAGAAGGACCCCACAGAUUUAUAAAAUUGCUUGUGUCAUGCUCAGUCUUUUUCAUUACUUUUUGAGGCUACAAUGAAAAACACGCUACAAUCUUUGAGGAGAAAUCGAGUCCAGUAUCAUAUGAAAAUGGCACAUAAGUUGCUCUGCCAUUGGAAC